AGAGUUUGAUCCUGGCUCAGGACGAACGCUGGCGGCGCGCCUAACACAUGCAAGUCGAACGGAGCUUAGAGAGCUUGCUUUUUAAGCUUAGUGGCGAACGGGUGAGUAACGCGUGAGUAACCUGCCCUAGAGUGGGGGACAACAGUUGGAAACGACUGCUAAUACCGCAUAAGCCCACGGUACCGCAUGGUACUGAGGGAAAAGGAUUUAUUCGCUUUAGGAUGGACUCGCGUCCAAUUAGCUAGUUGGUGAGGUAACGGCCCACCAAGGCGACGAUUGGUAGCCGGACUGAGAGGUUGAACGGCCACAUUGGGACUGAGACACGGCCCAGACUCCUACGGGAGGCAGCAGUGGGGGAUAUUGCACAAUGGGGGAAACCCUGAUGCAGCGACGCCGCGUGGAGGAAGAAGGUUUUCGGAUUGUAAACUCCUGUCGUUAGGGACGAUAAUGACGGUACCUAACAAGAAAGCACCGGCUAACUACGUGCCAGCAGCCGCGGUAAAACGUAGGGUGCAAGCGUUGUCCGGAAUUACUGGGUGUAAAGGGAGCGCAGGCGGGAAGACAAGUUGGAAGUGAAAACCAUGGGCUCAACCCAUGAAUUGCUUUCAAAACUGUUUUUCUUGAGUAGUGCAGAGGUAGAUGGAAUUCCCGGUGUAGCGGUGGAAUGCGUAGAUAUCGGGAGGAACACCAGUGGCGAAGGCGGUCUACUGGGCACCAACUGACGCUGAGGCUCGAAAGCAUGGGUAGCAAACAGGAUUAGAUACCCUGGUAGUCCAUGCCGUAAACGAUGAUUACUAGGUGUUGGGGGAUUGACCCCCUCAGUGCCGCAGUUAACACAAUAAGUAAUCCACCUGGGGAGUACGACCGCAAGGUUGAAACUCAAAGGAAUUGACGGGGGCCCGCACAAGCAGUGGAGUAUGUGGUUUAAUUCGAAGCAACGCGAAGAACCUUACCAGGUCUUGACAUCCGAU
rnacentral:rRNA from 1 species